AGAACUUGAAUUCAAGCUUGUAAAAAUCUUUUCAGUAUGUAGUUAUUCUUAUACCAUGGAAAGAGAGUACUAUACUAUGAGAGUAACGUAUCGACAUUCGGAACUUUUUUCAUGUUAUUACAACAUGGUGUACAACAUUGUCUUUUCAAGUUUUAUACCCACUCUUUAUAUCCUACACAAUACAACUAAAUGUCCCUCAUUAAAUUCAAGCACUGCAUACUUUCCCUGUAAACUUAUCAUUAAUUCCUAUCCUUUCCAUAGUGUUCUCGAUGUCAAGCCCACAAAAUUAUAACCCAACACCAAUCUGGAGAACCGUUACAAGAAGCAAAGUGGAAACCAAAACAAAAAUCGCAGUGGUAUUCAAAUUUGGAAUUUAAAGAAGAUCUAACCUACCGUAUAUUUGACAAAAACAAAAAAAAAUGAGUUUUUUACUCUUCAGGAUUUGUUUAUUUUUGCGAAAGAACAUCCAGAAUAUACAGCAAGUUUAAAUACUUUACGUUGAGUAUUAAAAUCCAUGGGAUUCAGAUUUAAGAAAGUUAACAACAGAAAAAUAAUUGCUUUUUGGUUAUUUGGUCUAUGUGUUCCCAAUGUUUCUAACCACUCCUGUAACAGUAAGUUUAAAUAAGCCGUCAAAUUAUUUUCAACAUACCUAUUAUUUUAGCCUCUGAAUUUUGUGAAGUUACAUUUUGUUCAUUAUUACCACUAAAAUCGUCAGGACGGAGGAGCAUAGCCAGACCUAUCGCCUUCAACCAAAUCCCUUGUACAUUUUGUAAAUAAUAAGUAGUACCAAAUAUUAGAGUUAUUAAACAUAACAUUAAAGACUU